UACGAAGGGAGCUAGCGUUGUUCGGAAUCACUGGGCGUAAAGCGCACGUAGGCGGAUUUGUCAGUCAGGGGUGAAAUCCCGGGGCUCAACCUCGGAACUGCCUUUGAUACAGCAAGUCUUGAGUUCGAGAGAGGUGGGUGGAAUUCCUAGUGUAGAGGUGAAAUUCGUAGAUAUUAGGAAGAACACCGGUGGCGAAGGCGGCCCACUGGCUCGAUACUGACGCUGAGGUGCGAAAGCGUGGGGAGCGAUCCGG
rnacentral:rRNA from 1 species